rnacentral:rRNA from 1 species
GGGUUGUGAGGUUAAGCGACUAAGCGUACACGGUGGAUGCCCUGGCAGUCAGAGGCGAUGAAGGACGUGCUAAUCUGCGAUAAGCGUCGGUAAGGUGAUAUGAACCGUUAUAACCGGCGAUUUCCGAAUGGGGAAACCCAGUGUGUUUCGACACACUAUCAUUAACUGAAUCCAUAGGUUAAUGAGGCGAACCGGGGGAACUGAAACAUCUAAGUACCCCGAGGAAAAGAAAUCAACCGAGAUUCCCCCAGUAGCGGCGAGCGAACGGGGAGGAGCCCAGAGCCUGAAUCAGUGUGUGUGUUAGUGGAAGCGUCUGGAAAGGCGCGCGAUACAGGGUGACAGCCCCGUACACAAAAAUGCACAUAUUGUGAGCUCGAUGAGUAGGGCGGGACACGUGGUAUCCUGUCUGAAUAUGGGGGACCAUCCUCCAAGGCUAAAUACUCCUGACUGACCGAUAGUGAACCAGUACCGUGAGGGAAAGGCGAAAAGAACCCCGGCGAGGGGAGUGAAAAAGAACCUGAAACCGUGUACGUACAAGCAGUGGGAGCACGCUUAGGCGUGUGACUGCGUACCUUUUGUAUAAUGGGUCAGCGACUUAUAUUCUGUAGCAAGGUUAACCGAAUAGGGGAGCCGAAGGGAAACCGAGUCUUAACUGGGCGUUAAGUUGCAGGGUAUAGACCCGAAACCCGGUGAUCUAGCCAUGGGCAGGUUGAAGGUUGGGUAACACUAACUGGAGGACCGAACCGACUAAUGUUGAAAAAUUAGCGGAUGACUUGUGGCUGGGGGUGAAAGGCCAAUCAAACCGGGAGAUAGCUGGUUCUCCCCGAAAGCUAUUUAGGUAGCGCCUCGUGAAUUCAUCUCCGGGGGUAGAGCACUGUUUCGGCAAGGGGGUCAUCCCGACUUACCAACCCGAUGCAAACUGCGAAUACCGGAGAAUGUUAUCACGGGAGACACACGGCGGGUGCUAACGUCCGUCGUGAAGAGGGAAACAACCCAGACCGCCAGCUAAGGUCCCAAAGUCAUGGUUAAGUGGGAAACGAUGUGGGAAGGCCCAGACAGCCAGGAUGUUGGCUUAGAAGCAGCCAUCAUUUAAAGAAAGCGUAAUAGCUCACUGGUCGAGUCGGCCUGCGCGGAAGAUGUAACGGGGCUAAACCAUGCACCGAAGCUGCGGCAGCGACGCUUAUGCGUUGUUGGGUAGGGGAGCGUUCUGUAAGCCUGUGAAGGUGUGCUGUGAGGCAUGCUGGAGGUAUCAGAAGUGCGAAUGCUGACAUAAGUAACGAUAAAGCGGGUGAAAAGCCCGCUCGCCGGAAGACCAAGGGUUCCUGUCCAACGUUAAUCGGGGCAGGGUGAGUCGACCCCUAAGGCGAGGCCGAAAGGCGUAGUCGAUGGGAAACAGGUUAAUAUUCCUGUACUUGGUGUUACUGCGAAGGGGGGACGGAGAAGGCUAUGUUGGCCGGGCGACGGUUGUCCCGGUUUAAGCGUGUAGGCUGGUUUUCCAGGCAAAUCCGGAAAAUCAAGGCUGAGGCGUGAUGACGAGGCACUACGGUGCUGAAGCAACAAAUGCCCUGCUUCCAGGAAAAGCCUCUAAGCAUCAGGUAACAUCAAAUCGUACCCCAAACCGACACAGGUGGUCAGGUAGAGAAUACCAAGGCGCUUGAGAGAACUCGGGUGAAGGAACUAGGCAAAAUGGUGCCGUAACUUCGGGAGAAGGCACGCUGAUAUGUAGGUGAAGUCCCUCGCGGAUGGAGCUGAAAUCAGUCGAAGAUACCAGCUGGCUGCAACUGUUUAUUAAAAACACAGCACUGUGCAAACACGAAAGUGGACGUAUACGGUGUGACGCCUGCCCGGUGCCGGAAGGUUAAUUGAUGGGGUUAGCCGCAAGGCGAAGCUCUUGAUCGAAGCCCCGGUAAACGGCGGCCGUAACUAUAACGGUCCUAAGGUAGCGAAAUUCCUUGUCGGGUAAGUUCCGACCUGCACGAAUGGCGUAAUGAUGGCCAGGCUGUCUCCACCCGAGACUCAGUGAAAUUGAACUCGCUGUGAAGAUGCAGUGUACCCGCGGCAAGACGGAAAGACCCCGUGAACCUUUACUAUAGCUUGACACUGAACAUUGAGCCUUGAUGUGUAGGAUAGGUGGGAGGCUUUGAAGUGUGGACGCCAGUCUGCAUGGAGCCGACCUUGAAAUACCACCCUUUAAUGUUUGAUGUUCUAACGUUGGCCCCUGAUCGGGGUUGCGGACAGUGUCUGGUGGGUAGUUUGACUGGGGCGGUCUCCUCCUAAAGAGUAACGGAGGAGCACGAAGGUUGGCUAAUCCUGGUCGGACAUCAGGAGGUUAGUGCAAUGGCAUAAGCCAGCUUGACUGCGAGCGUGACGGCGCGAGCAGGUGCGAAAGCAGGUCAUAGUGAUCCGGUGGUUCUGAAUGGAAGGGCCAUCGCUCAACGGAUAAAAGGUACUCCGGGGAUAACAGGCUGAUACCGCCCAAGAGUUCAUAUCGACGGCGGUGUUUGGCACCUCGAUGUCGGCUCAUCACAUCCUGGGGCUGAAGUAGGUCCCAAGGGUAUGGCUGUUCGCCAUUUAAAGUGGUACGCGAGCUGGGUUUAGAACGUCGUGAGACAGUUCGGUCCCUAUCUGCCGUGGGCGCUGGAGAACUGAGGGGGGCUGCUCCUAGUACGAGAGGACCGGAGUGGACGCAUCACUGGUGUUCGGGUUGUCAUGCCAAUGGCACUGCCCGGUAGCUAAAUGCGGAAGAGAUAAGUGCUGAAAGCAUCUAAGCACGAAACUUGCCCCGAGAUGAGUUCUCCUGACUCCUUGAGAGUCCUGAAGGAACGUUGAAGACGACGACGUUGAUAGGCCGGGUGUGUAAGCGCAGCGAUGCGUUGAGCUAACCGGUACUAAUGAACCGUGAGGCUUAACCUUACAACGCCGAAGCUGUU